rnacentral:lncRNA from 1 species
AUGAACACCGAAACGUAUCAGACCCCCAUGGAGGUGGUGGUCUAUCAGCUGCACACUUUCUCCAUCUCCUUCUUCUCUUCUCUGCUUGAAGGGGAUGUGGUUUCCGAUAAACUGGAUAACAGUGCCUCCGGAGCCAGUGUGGUGGCCCUAGACAACAAGAUUGAGCAGGCCAUGGAUCUAGUGAGGAAUCUUCUGAUGUGAGAGAGGAGGUGGAGGUCAUAAAGGAGCAGAUUUGUGAGCUGGUUGAGAAGAACUCCCAGCUGGAACUCGAGAAUACCCUCCUGAAGUCGCUGGCAUGCCCAGAGCAACUGGAAAAGUUCCAGUCCCAGCUGAGCCCCAAAGAGCCAGCACCUGAAACCCCAGAAACCCGGAAACCCUGAAAACUCCGGAAGCCCCUGGUGGUUCUGCCGUG